rnacentral:rRNA from 1 species
AUUGAACGCUGGCGGCAGGCCUAACACAUGCAAGUCGAGCGGAUGAAGGGAGCUUGCUCCUGGAUUCAGCGGCGGACGGGUGAGUAAUGCCUAGGAAUCUGCCUGGUAGUGGGGGAUAACGUCCGGAAACGGGCGCUAAUACCGCAUACGUCCUGAGGGAGAAAGUGGGGGAUCUUCGGACCUCACGCUAUCAGAUGAGCCUAGGUCGGAUUAGCUAGUUGGGGGGGUAAAGGCCUACCAAGGCGACGAUCCGUAACUGGUCUGAGAGGAUGAUCAGUCACACGGGAACUGAGAAACGGCACAGACUCUGACGGGAGGCAGCAGUGGGGAAUAUUGCGCGAUGGGCGAAAGCCUGAUCCAGCCAAGCCGCGUGAGUGAAGAAGGUCUUAGGAUUGGAAAACGAUGUAGGUUGGAAGGAAGUGAAGUUAGUUAACACCUGACUGUAUUGACGUUACCAACAGAAGAAGCCCCGGCUAACUUCGUG